GUACUCACUUCGGCAGCACAUAUACUAAAAUUGGAGCGAUACGGAGAAGAUUAGCAUGGCCCCUGUGCAAGGAUGACAUGCAAAUCCAAGUCUUAGCAUUAGACACU